rnacentral:tRNA from 1 species
AGUAGCCAAACGGUAAGGCAAAGGACUUUGACUCCUUAAUGUGUUGGUUCGAAUCCAACC